GUGGGGAAUAUUGGACAAUGGGCGCAAGCCUGAUCCAGCCAUGCCGCGUGAGUGAUGAAGGCCUUAGGGUUGUAAAGCUCUUUCAGUGGGGACGAUAAUGACGGUACCCACAGAAGAAGCCCCGGCUAACUUCGUGCCAGCAGCCGCGGUAAUACGAAGGGGGCUAGCGUUGUUCGGAUUUACUGGGCGUAAAGCGCACGUAGGCGGAUCGUUAAGUCGGGGGUGAAAUCCUGGAGCUCAACUCCAGAACUGCCUUCGAUACUGGCGAUCUUGAGUCCGGAAGAGGUGAGUGGAACUCCUAGGGUAGCGGUGGAAUUCGUAGAUAGUAGGAAGAACACCAGUGGCGAAGGCGGCUCACUGGUCCGGUACUGACGCUGAGGUGCGAAAGCGUGGGGAGCAAACAGGAUUAGAAACCCGGGUAGUCC
rnacentral:rRNA from 1 species